rnacentral:rRNA from 1 species
GACGAACGCUGGCGGCGCGCCUAACACAUGCAAGUCGAACGAGCGAGAGAGAGCUUGCUUUCUCGAGCGAGUGGCGAACGGGUGAGUAACGCGUGAGGAACCUGCCUCAAAGAGGGGGACAACAGUUGGAAACGACUGCUAAUACCGCAUAAGCCCACGGGUCGGCAUCGACCAGAGGGAAAAGGAGCAAUCCGCUUUGAGAUGGCCUCGCGUCCGAUUAGCUAGUUGGUGAGGUAAUGGCCCACCAAGGCGACGAUCGGUAGCCGGACUGAGAGGUUGAACGGCCACAUUGGGACUGAGACACGGCCCAGACUCCUACGGGAGGCAGCAGUGGGGAAUAUUGCACAAUGGGGGAAACCCUGAUGCAGCGACGCCGCGUGGAGGAAGAAGGUCUUCGGAUUGUAAACUCCUGUUGUUGGGGAAGAUAAUGACGGUACCCAACAAGGAAGAGACGGCUAACUACGUG